rnacentral:rRNA from 1 species
AGAGAAUACUAAGGCGAUCGAGAGAACUGUGGUUAAGGAACUCGGCAAAAUGCCCCCGUAACUUCGGGAGAAGGGGGACCAGUCCUGGUGACGACAUUUACUGUCUGAGCUGGGGUUGGUCGCAGAGACCAGAGAGAAGCGACUGUUUACUAAAAACACAGGUCCGUGCGAAGUCGUAAGACGAUGUAUACGGACUGACGCCUGCCCGGUGCUGGAAGGUUAAGAGGACCGGUCAGCCACUUCGGUGGCGAAGCUGAGAAUUUAAGCCCCAGUAAACGGCGGUGGUAACUAUAACCAUCCUAAGGUAGCGAAAUUCCUUGUCGGGUAAGUUCCGACCUGCACGAAUGGCGUAACGACUUCUCUGCUGUCUCAACCACAGACUCGGCGAAAUUGCAGUACGAGUAAGGAUGCUCGUUACGCGCGGCAGGACGAAAGGACCCCGGGACCUUCACUAUAGCUUGGUAUUGGUGUUCGGUUCGGUUUGUGUAGGAUAGGUGGGAGACUGUGAAACUCGCACGCCAGUGUGGGUGGAGUCAUUGUUGAAAUACCACUCUGACCGUAUUGGACAUCUAACCUCGGACCAUGAUCUGGUUCAGGGACAGUGCCUGGUGGGUAGUUUAACUGGGGCGGUUGCCUCCCAAAAAGUAACGGAGGCGCCCAAAGGUUCCCUCAGCCUGGUUGGCAAUCAGGUGUUGAGUGUAAGUGCACAAGGGAGCUUGACUGUGAGACGUACAUGUCGAGCAGGGACGAAAGUCGGGACUAGUGAUCCGGCACCGGCAAGUGGAAGCGGUGUCGCUCAACGGAUAAAAGGUACCCCGGGGAUAACAGGCUGAUCUUCCCCAAGAGUCCAUAUCGACGGGAUGGUUUGGCACCUCGAUGUCGGCUCGUCGCAUCCUGGGGCUGGAGUAGGUCCCAAGGGUUGGGCUGUUCGCCCAUUAAAGCGGCACGCGAGCUGGGUUUAGAACGUCGUGAGACAGUUCGGUCUCUAUCCGCCGCGCGCGUAAGAAACUUGAGGAAACCUGUCCCUAGUACGAGAGGACCGGGACGGACGAACCUCUGGUGUGCCAGUUGUUCCACCAGGAGCACCGCUGGUUAGCUACGUUCGGAAGGGAUAACCGCUGAAAGCAUCUAAGCGGGAAGCCUGUUCCAAGAUGAGGUUUCUCACCACCUAGCGUGGUUAAGGCCCCCCACAGACCAUGGGGUUGAUAGGCCAGAACUGUAAGCACAGCAAUGUGUUCAGGUGACUGGUACUAAUCGGCCGAGGACUUACC